UUAGGUGUACAAUAGGCAAAUCCGUUGUAUAAUCCGAAGACGUGAUGUGGAGCGAAACAAAGUAGCAAAGCGUGUGAGCCAUGUGCCGAGAAAAGCUGCUAUUGUGUAAUGCGUGCCCGUACCGUAAACCGACACAGGUGGAUGAGGAGAGAAUCCUAAGGCCGACGGAAGAAGCAUUGUUAAGGAAUUCGGCAAAAUGACCCCGUAACUUCGGGAGAAGGGGUGCCUGCGAGAGCAGGCCGCAGAGAAUAGGCUCAAGCAACUGUUUAGCAAAAACACAGGUCUAUGCGAAACCGAAAGGUGAAGUAUAUGGGCUGACGCCUGCCCGGUGCUGGAAGGUUAAGAGGAGAGGUUAGCUUCGGCGAAGCUUUGAAUUUAAGCCCCAGUAAACGGCGGCCGUAACAAUAACGGUCCUAAGGUAGCGAAAUUCCUUGUCGGGUAAGUUCCGACCCGCACGAAAGGCGUAAUGAUUUGAGCACUGUCUCGACAAUGCAUCCGGUGAAAUUGAAGUACCAGUGAAGAUGCUGGUUACCCGCGCCAGGACGGAAAGACCCCAUGGAGCUUUACUCCAGUUUGAUACUGGGAUUCGGUACUGCAUGUACAGGAUAGGUGGGAGACGAAGAAGGAUGGACGCCAGUCUGUCCGGAGUCGCUGUUGGGAUACCACCCCUGUAGUACUGGGUUUCUAACCAGUUGCCAUGAACUGGCAAUGGGACAAUGUCAGGCGGGGAGUUUGACUGGGGCGGUCGCCUCCGAAAGGGUAUCGGAGGCGCUCAAAGGUUCCCUCAGAAUGGUUGGAAACCAUUUGAAGAGUGCAAAGGCAGAAGGGAGCUUGACUGCGACACCGACGGGUGGAGCAGGUACGAAAGUAGGACUUAGUGAUCCGGUGGUAUAAAGUGGGAUUGCCAUCGCUCAACGGAUAAAAGCUACCCUGGGAUAACAGGCUUAUCACUCCCAAGAGUUCACAUCGACGGAGUGGUUUGGCACCUGGAUGUCGGCUCAUCGCAUCCUGGGGCUGUAGCAGGUCCCAAGGGUUGGGCUGUUCGCCCAUUAAAGCGGUACGCGAGCUGGGUUCAGAACGUCGUGAGACAGUUCGGUCCCUAUCCGGCGCGGGCGGAGGAUAUUUGAGAGGAGCUGUCCUUAGUACGAGAGGACCGGGAUGGACGGACCACUGGUGUAUCUGUUGUCGACCAACGGCAUGGCAGAGUAGCCAAGUCUGGAAGGGAUAAACGCUGAAGGCAUCUAAGCGUGAAGCCCCCCUCAAGAUGAGAUAUCCCUCCUUCGGGAGUAAGACCCCUUGAAGACCACAAGGUAGAUAGGGCAGAGGUGGAAGCAUGGCAACAUGUGGAGCUGACUGUUACUAAUAGGUCGAGGGCUUAAUAAA
rnacentral:rRNA from 1 species